CCUACGGGGGGCAGCAGUGGGGAAUAUUGCACAAUGGGCGAAACCCUGACGCAGCAACGCCGCGUGAGUGAAGAAGUAUUUCGGUUCGUAAAGCUCUGUCAGCAGGGAAGAACAUGACGGUACCUGAUUAACAAUCCCCUGCUGACUACUUCCCAGCAGCCGCCGUAUUACGUAGGGGGCAAGCGUUAUCUGGUACUACUGGGUGUAAAGGGAGCGCAGGCGGCAGUGCAAGUCUGGAGCGAAAGCCAUGGGCCCAACCCCGGAACUGCUCAGGAAACUGGGCGGCUAGAGUACGUGAGGGGAAAGUGGAAUUCCUGGUGUAGCGGUGAAAUGCGUAGAUAUUAGGAGGAACACCAGUGGCGAAGGCGGCCUGCUGGACAGUAACUGACGUUGAGGCGCGAAAGCGUGGGGAGCAAACAGGAUUAGAUACCCGGGUAGUC
rnacentral:rRNA from 1 species